GACGAACGCUGGCGGCGUGCUUAACACAUGCAAGUCGAACGGAAAGGCCCUGCUUUCGUGGGGUGCUCGAGUGGCGAACGGGUGAGUAACACGUGAGUAACCUGCCCUUGACUUUGGGAUAACUUCAGGAAACUGGGGCUAAUACCGGAUAGGAGCUCCUGCUGCAUUGUGGGGGUUGGAACGUUUCGGCGGUUGGGGAUGGACUCGCGGCUUAUCAGCUUGUUGGUGGGGUAGUGGCUUACCAAGGGUUUGACGGGUAGCCGGCCUGAGAGGGUGAACGGCCACAUGGGGACUGAGAUACGGCCCAGACUCCUACGGGAGGCAGCAGUGGGGAAUCUUGCACAAUGGGCGGGAGCCUGAUGCGGCAACGCCGCGUGCGGGAUGACGGCCUGCGGGUAGUAAACCGCUUUCGCCUGUGACGAAGCGUGAGUGACGGUAAUGGGUAAAGAAGCACCGGCUAACUACGUG
rnacentral:rRNA from 1 species